CUCACACCUAUGUGUGUAGGACCUCAAAUGAUCGUCAUUAAAUUUGGCAUAGAUCUCUAGAAAAGUUAUCAUGUGGGUGUGGGACUUGAUUUUUCUAGAGAUCUGUAUCAAAUUUAAUGGUGAUCCUUUGGGGUCAUGCACACAUAGGUGUGGG
rnacentral:pre_miRNA from 1 species